GGGCAGAUGCGGUAACUUGCUCCCUGAUGUUAGCGGCGGACGGGUGAGUAACACGUGGGUAACCUGCCUGUAAGACUGGGAUAACUCCGGGAAACCGGGGCUAAUACCGGAUGCUUGUUUGAACCGCAUGGUUCAAACAUAAAAGGUGGCUUCGGCUACCACUUACAGAUGGACCCGCGGCGCAUUAGCUAGUUGGUGAGGUAAUGGCUCACCAAGGCAACGAUGCGUAGCCGACCUGAGAGGGUGAUCGGCCACACUGGGACUGAGACACGGCCCAGACUCCUACGGGAGGCAGCAGUAGGGAAUCUUCCGCAAUGGACGAAAGUCUGACGGAGCAACGCCGCGUGAGUGAUGAAGGUUUUCGGAUCGUAAAGCUCUGUUGUUAGGGAAGAACAAGUACCGUUCGAAUAGGGCGGUACCUUGACGGUACCUAACCAGAAAGCCACGGCUAACUACGUGCCAGCAGCCGCGGUAAUACGUAGGUGGCAAGCGUUGUCCGGAAUUAUUGGGCGUAAAGGGCUCGCAGGCGGUUUCUUAAGUCUGAUGUGAAAGCCCCCGGCUCAACCGGGGAGGGUCAUUGGAAACUGGGGAACUUGAGUGCAAAAAAGGAGAGUGAAAUUCCACGUGUAGCGGUGAAAUGCGUAAAGAUGUGGAGGAACACCGGUGCCAAAGGCGAUUCUCUGGUCUGUAACUGACCCUGAGGAUCAAAUGCGUGGGGAGCAAACAGGAUUAGAUACCCUGUUAGUCCACGCCGUAAACGAUGAGUGCUAAGUGUUAGGGAGGUUUCCGCCCCUUAUUGCUGCAGCUAACGCACUAAGUACUACCGGCCUGGUGCAGUACUGGAGCCAGAGUUAUACUCAUAAGGAAUUAAGAGA
rnacentral:rRNA from 1 species